rnacentral:misc_RNA from 1 species
AACAUCCGGCCGCUUUGGCCUGGCUGUUGGUCGUGAGUGCUGCGGGCGCAAGCCGGCUCGCUUUAAAUGGAUGAGUGGUCUGGCAUUGUGUCCUUGCGUGAUAGUUAUUUCGUUUUGGCGCGUGUUUAGAUGGCUUUCUAACCUGGGAGCGCCCAUUUUACCCAGACCUCAAAUCAGGUAGGACUACCCGCUGAACUUAA